rnacentral:rRNA from 1 species
GACGAACCGUGCGAACGUUAUUCGGAAUCACUGGGCCUAAAGCGCGUGUAGGCGGCCCGGCACGUCUCUGGCUGAAAUCCCCCGGCUCAACCGGGGAAGUGGCCGGGAUACGACCGGGCUGGAGGGGGGUAGGGGGGACGGGAACUCCGGGUGGAGCGGUGAAAUGCGUUGAGAUCCGGAGGAACGCCCGCGGCGAAAGCGCGUCCCUGGACCCCGCCUGACGCUGAGACGCGAAAGCCAGGGGAGCAAACGGG